AUUGAACGCUGGCGGCAUGCCUUACACAUGCAAGUCGAACGGUAACAGGUCUUCGGAUGCUGACGAGUGGCGAACGGGUGAGUAAUACAUCGGAACGUGCCUAGUAGUGGGGGAUAACUACUCGAAAGAGUGGCUAAUACCGCAUGAGAUCUACGGAUGAAAGUAGGGGAUCGCAAGACCUUGUGCUACUAGAGCGGCAGAUGGCAGAUUAGGUAGUUGGUGGGAUAAAAGCUUACCAAGCCGACGAUCUGUAGCUGGUCUGAGAGGACGAUCAGCCACACUGGGACUGAGACACGGCCCAGACUCCUACGGGAGGCAGCAGUGGGGAAUUUUGGACAAUGGGCGCAAGCCUGAUCCAGCAAUGCCGCGUGCAGGAUGAAGGCCUUCGGGUUGUAAACUGCUUUUGUACGGAACGAAAAGCCCUGGGUUAAUACCCUGGGGUCAUGACGGUACCGUAAGAAUAAGCACCGGCUAACUACGUGCCAGCCGCCGCGGUAAAAC
rnacentral:rRNA from 1 species